UACAUGUGGGGCAAGCGUUGUUCGGAAUUACUGGGCGUAAAGGGUGCGUAGGUGGCUUGUUAAGUCAGGGGUGAAAGUUUUCGGCCCAACCGGAAGAUGGCCUUUGAUACUGGCGAGCUCGAGUGCGUGAGGGGUAACCGGAACGAGCAGUGUAGCGGUGAAAUGCGUAGAUAUUGCUCGGAAGGCCAACGGCGAAGGCAGGUUACUGGUGCGCAACUGACACUGAGGCACGAAAGCGUGGGGAGCAAACAGG
rnacentral:rRNA from 1 species